GAGCAAAUCCCUAAAAGCCAUCCCAGUUCGGAUUGCAGGCUGAAACCCGCCUGUAUGAAGUUGGAAUUGCUAGUAAUCGCGGAUCAGCAUGCCGCGGUGAAUACGUUCCCGGGCCUUGUACACACCGCCCGUCACACCAUGAGAGUCGGGAACACCCGAAGUCCGUAGUCUAACCGCAAGGAGGGCGCGGCCGAAGGUGGGUCCGGUAAUUGGGGUGAAGUCGUAACAAGGUAUC
rnacentral:rRNA from 1 species